AUUUAAGGGCUGGCAGCAGAGGUGAGAGUAUCUCUGUGGAGAUCCCUACCUACCUGAGGCAUUUUGAAGAAGAACUGCACGUGCUUUCUCACGUUGGGGUUUUCUUCAGAGUCUAAACAGGCAUUUGAAAGGACGACAAUCACUACUGCCCUCACUGCAGGACGCAGAGCUGAAACCUGAGUUCCUGGAUUCACAGCAAGGGGCCAUAUCCACCCUGCCUUUGCCACUGCUUUCCACCUAGGGCUGCCUAGAUUUCUCCAGUAAUGUAACUUCCUUGUCAAGCUAUAACACCCCAGUUAAUGAGAAGACUCAAAUGUCUGCAAUAGUCAGCAUGCGAAAAACUAAGCAAAAAACAUUCAUUAUCUGGCACUAUACCAUUCAAUCCAAAGGAAGACCACUGUCAAGGAACAGCUGUGAUCUCUCCAUUCAACUAUACCAUCAUUCUUUGAGAUGAAGCUUUACAACCCAUUAUUUCUGUAGUUCAGUUUUAUCUUUUUUUGCAUCUUACGUUGCUUUUUAAAAGAGAGAAUUAGUAUGUCCUUGAAUGUGAAGCUGGUAUCUGAGUUAAUGAAGAGAAGUGCAACGAGAAUACCCAAAGCAGAUAUUCUGAGUAUCAAUAUUAAAACACACAUUGAUGAACAAGAACAAAUGGAAAAAGGCAGGAUAAGUGUUAUGAAAUGUAUGGAAAUGUAUCAGAAAAGUAACCUGCCUUGGAAUAUGCUUUUUUGUUUCAUUAUCUUUAGAUGAUGGAAAGACACAUCAAGGACAGUAGGAUAAUUUUAAGUGCUUGAUUUUUUUUUAUUUUAUUUUUAUUUUUCUGUAGUGCUUUUGAAAAGAACGUUCCCUUCUACAGUAGAUAAGACUGCUCUAUUGUCCCCUUGCCAGCUGCUGUAAAAGCAUUUCUAACAAAUAUGCAAAAUUAGAAAGUGGAAAGGAGUUUCUUGUAGAUAGAUAUACUAGAGCAGGAGAACAGGUCUUCAAGAACCACAGGGAAGAAUAGUUUAAAGAACUGAAAUCAAAAUACACAAUACUUCAGUGAAUGGGCAUUCUGCUUUCAUACCAGCUGUCUGCUAAAGAAGACAACCUUUCUCUUGCUGUGUGGCAACACCAGGCACUACAUCAGUUUGAAGGCCCUGGAGCACACUAUCAGUCUUGCUUGGCUUGUCCUACCACGCCCACUAUAUAAUCUGGAUUUGGUGCUUUCUGGCUUCCAUCUGUUCAGACCAAUGAAAGAUGGACUGCGUGAGUAACAUUUUCCUAGCAAUUAUGCUGUCAUAGCAGCU